CAUCCAGCACUCUUUCCACUGUACCAGCUGCCUCUAAAUGGGCUGUCUCUCUACCACAGGCUGUGAAUAAAUAGUCCAUGUGAACAUUUGGGAUAGAGAUAUCUCUAUAGUUGCCCAUCUCAUGUUCUUUCAAGCUACUACAAUUCUGCUUUGCCUACAGAGCACAGGAUAUUUUUUUUAAUACACAGGGCACAGCCCACCAUGCUGGAGGUUCUUGGGCCAAUGUCUUCCAUGAAACCAAAAUCCUUCUGGGAGACCUUGAGAGUGUCCUUGUACUGUUUCUGCUGACCUCCAUAUGAGCACUGGACUUGUAUAAUUCUGCAUCCAUUCUUGGCCUCUUGGUGUAUCUCUUCUCCAAAGUUCGGCAUAGGAGUCCAGAUAAAGUGCUGGAGACCUUCUUCACACUCUUUCAACACAGAAAUGGUACCACUGGAAUAGAUAUGCUCAGACUGAAGAGGAGAGGAAGGAGAGGCAUUUAAAGAGUGAGUGGAAAGGGAAAAAAGAAACUCAAGAAAAAACUUUUGUUGGAAAAAAAAAAGCAUUCUUAACGAUAGAGCUGUUGAAAUUUUUUUUUUUAUCACGUCCCAAAACAUACUGUGUGAGGAUCUGCCCUUUCUUUAAAAGG
rnacentral:lncRNA from 1 species